CCAGCAGCCGCGGUAAUACGUAGGUGGCAAGCGUUGUCCGGAUUUAUUGGGCGUAAAGCGAGCGCAGGCGGUUUCUUAAGUCUGAUGUGAAAGCCCCCGGCCCUUUGGGGAGGGUCAUUGGAAACUGGGAGACUUGAGUGCAGCAUAGGAGAGUGGAAUUCCAUGUGUAGCGGUGAAAUGCGUAGAUAUAUGGAGGAACACCAGUGGCGAAGGCGGCUCUCUGGUCUGUAACUGACGCUGAGGCUCGAAAGCGUGGGGAGCAAACAGGAUUAGAUUACCCUGGUA
rnacentral:rRNA from 1 species